GGUCGGANNUGACGGUACCGUAAAUAAUAGGCACCGGCUAGCUACGUGCCAGCAGCCGCGGUAAUACGUAGGGUGCAAGCGUAAAUCGGAAUUACUGGGCGUAAAGCGUGCGCAGGCGGUUUUGUAAGAGGCGUGAAAUCCCCGGGCUCAACCUGGGAAUGGCGAUUGUGACUGCAUCGCUGGAGUGCGGCAGAGGGGGAUGGAAUUCCGCGUGUAGCAGUGAAAUGCGUAAAUAUGCGGAGGACCACCGAUGGCUUUUGCAAUCCCCUGGGCCUGCACUGACGCUCAUGCACAGAU
rnacentral:rRNA from 1 species